rnacentral:rRNA from 1 species
GACGGAGGGUGCUAGCGUUGUUCGGAUUUACUGGGCGUAAAGGGCGCGUAGGCGGCCUUCUCAGUCGGGUGUGAAAGCCCGGGGCUCAACCCCGGAACGGCACCCGAGACGGGAAGGCUGGAGACCGGGAGAGGAGGGUGGAAUAGCCAGUGUAGAGGUGAAAUUCGUAGAUAUUGGCUGGAACACCGGUGGCGAAAGCGGCUCUCUGGCCCGGUAUUGACGCUGAGGCGCGAAAGCUAGGGGAGCAAACGGG